AAAAGUUACUUAUUAGCCUGCAGUUUUUGCUUGCUUAUCCGAUCUCCUUCCGAGAUCGAAACUCCGUGAUUCUCCGGCCGGCACCGAUCGAGAAGGAGAAGGAGGGGCUGCCUUCCCCGCUCAAUUCGUGGCGUGGGGGUCGCCGUGCGCGCCGACCCGGUUGUAACGCCGCCCGUCCAUCCUCCGCGGGAGACGUCUCCCUAUUCUGGGAUGCGGCGUCGCUCGCUUAGCCCUCUUCCUCCUCCGGUUCAAGAUGGGAUUUUUCCCUCUCUGGCGGCCUGAUCUAGGGCGGCGCGGCCGGAUCUUCUCGUGUGGUGCUCCAAUCUCUGUGAUGCACUACGUACGCUCCAGGAAGAGAAAGGGCUCGAGCUCGGAGCUGGACGUCGCGAGGAGCAUCGAGCUGCUCAUCCUCGAGGCCUCCUUGCUGGGGGUCUACACCGGCCAGCUGGUGAUCAUCCUCUGGGCCUCCUUCCGUGCCCCCUUCCAGAAGUUGAAGUUGAUAUUCUAGGACGCACCGGCGACUAUGUAGAUUGCGCCACUGAAGAACAAUCUUGGAGUACAUACGUUUCUGCUGUUAAUAAUCUGUGUAGGAUGCUUGUUUACCAUCCAAAACAGCCGCAAAGGAGUUCUGCUAUGCUGAUAGGGACGCCUUGCUCAUGUAUAAGGCUAUUGUGCGAGUUCAGGAACCUGGAGGUGCCCCUGGGACGGCGACGCACUGGAUGAGCAUGAUCAAGGGGGAGGUGACGGCGUGACGCGCCGGCCUUCUCCCCUGGCUGGCACUGUGCUCCUGGUGGGUGGGGGGCGGCGUUCUGCUGCUGCUGCUGAUGGCCUGCUGGUUGGGGCGGCAAUGAAGAAGCGGGCGAGGUGGCGCUGGCGAUCAAGGGAUGCGAGGAAGAAGCGGGGAGGUGGCGCUAGCUAUCAAGGGAGACGAGGAGGGAACAGGGGGAGGUAGCCCAGGCGAGAAAGAAGCGGGCAAGGUGGUGCUAGCGAGCGUCUGGGAGGUGGCCCGACAGGUGCCGGACUGCCGCCGGGCGAGCUCCUGGAGGUGCCCGAGCAAGGGGCCAGCAGCCGGCGAGGGAGACGCGGGGGGAAGUCGCGGUCAGAGGAAGAAAAAUGAAGUGGCCCGGGUCGAUGGAUUUUGCUUCUAUACUGAAUUUAACUGAUGCUGUUAACUGAAGUUUGGUCUUGGUUUGCGUUGUAUAUAUAUUGCUGAUUCGUUUC